rnacentral:rRNA from 1 species
UACGAAGGGGGCUAGCGUUGUUCGGAAUUACUGGGCGUAAAGCGUGCGCAGGCGGCUUCUCAAGUCAGGGGUGAAAGCCCAGAGCUCAACUCUGGAAUUGCCUUUGAGACUGAGUGGCUUGAGUACGAGAGAGGUGAGUGGAAUUCCCAGUGUAGAGGUGAAAUUCGUAGAUAUUGGGAAGAACACCGGUGGCGAAGGCAGCCUCCUGGGCCAACACUGACGCUCAUGCACGAAAGCGUGGGGAGCAAACAGG